rnacentral:rRNA from 1 species
CAGUCGCCGCGGGAAUACGUAGGGUGCAAGCGUUAAUCGGAAUUACUGGGCGUAAAGGGAGCGUAGGCGGAUCGUUAAGUUGGGGGUGAAAGCCCGGGGCUCAACCUCGGAAUUGCCUUCAAUACUGGCGAUCUUGAGUAUGGAAGAGGUAUGUGGAACUCCGAGUGUAGAGGUGAAAUUCGUAGAUAUUCGGAAGAACACCAGUGGCGAAGGCGACAUACUGGUCCAUUACUGACGCUGAGGCUCGAAAGCGUGGGGAGCAAACAGGAUUAGAUACCCCAGUAGUCCCUGUCUCUUAUAC